AUAAAGGCCAGGCAGAAAGUAUUUGUGAGUUAAUAACCAAAACCAGAGCCAGUCAUGGAAAUGGAAAAAGGGAAUACUACGGACGUAAAGAAAAGGCGUUCGAAUGUAGGCCUACCCGACGGUCAGCGCGUGUUCAACGUGAUCAUCGCUGUCCUUGUUACGAUGACUCUCAUCAAUCAGGGAUAUAUGUUUUUUGAGAUGAAAGCGAAGAUUAAGUAUUACGAUGCUACGCUACAAAGCAUUCAGGUCCCUAAGCGUAUUAUGAAGCGGGGAGUUGAUUCAAGGUUAGAUUCUCUAUGUCCAAUCCAAUGU